CUUGCUCAGCCUCUGGUGCCUUGUCCCCUCUGAACAUCUCCAAGGAGAUCUCUACAAGUUCUAUUGGCAACCUGUUCCGGUGACUGGUUUACUUGAGAGUAAACCUUUUCUCUUAAUGUUUAAAUGGACUUUCCUGUCCUGUGUUUCGUUUCCUGCCCAUUGCCUCUGUCUGCAGUUUUGGUUGUGCUGUGACACGGGUGCUACAAACUGUCAUCAGACAGCCUGGGUGCCCUUUGAAGGUACCGCCUUUUCCAUUGGCAGUGAGAUAAAAACCUGGUUUGGGUUUUUGCCUUCCCACCCCUCAACCAUGAAUGUCUCUUCCCACAUUAUCCGUUUAAAAUGUCACUUUCCUGGGCAAUCCUGUGGGUGUCUUCACCUUUAUUGAAAUUCCAGAACCUGAGCUUAACUUGUUAACAAUUUAUGUUCAUAUGUACGAGGAGGAGGAACAUAAAGAUGAUGUAAGGAUAGACAGGUUUGUAAAACCAGCCAUUUCUUCAAGGGAUGGCUGCUGCAGCAAUACCCUGCUUGCACGAUGCCCUAUAUGAGUGUCUGUUUUGAGCGAGUUUUACACGUGACCUGCACCCUGAUCAUGAGUUCUUUUUAGGCUGCACACCCGCCUAUCGGCCUCAUCAGCAUUGAUGCUGUGGACCCACAUCAGUGGUUUCUUGAGCUUUGAGAAAAACCCAGUUCUUGUUCUAGGUAAAUAUAAGAACCCUUCUGUUUCAGAGCAGCGUGCAGCCAUGUGCACACUGUGUGUGCCAGAACAGACCCUUUCAAGAGCUCCAGAAGACUUUUUUAGCCUCUUUCUUUCAUCUGCAAGACCAAAAACGAAAGAGAGGUUUCUGCAACUGGGAAGCAGGAGAAGAGAGCGGAGUGACAAGACUUCACCUGUACCGUAGCUGAUGGGGGGCUCACAGACCAGAACACACACAGCCUAUUGCACAGAUCGGCUUUCCUGGCAGCCCCAGGCAGCACUCGCAGGGACAGAGGUAUGGGACGCCUAAAAAAAGUCACUGAAAGAGACUAAAAGACAAGGACAGCUGGAAAAAACAUGAAUGAAAAAGGAAAUAAAAUGUGUAAA